ACAAAAAUAAUAGUGUGCAUAUUACACGAAACUAUGUGAGCUAAUUUUAUUAUAUUAACAUGUGGCAAAAUGUUAAGAUGAAGAGAAAUUAGGGGUGAUAGGCUUUACAAACAUAGUGAUAUCUUGAUUUCUCCAAAAUGUACUAGUACACUUACGAGUUUAAAGCUAUAAGGUUUUAAACAACAAUAAAAUAUGAUUUCUGUUAAUUAUAAGAUAUAAAAAUCUAUAUAUUUAUUUAUAUAACAUAUAUGUUAUAAAAUUAUUAAUUAUAGGGGAAUGUAUAGUAACUUACAUAGUAUUAAUAAUGUCACCAUUAGUAUUUAGAAGGUGUUAGUAGUGAACUCGGCAUAAAGUUUUCAACUGUUUAUCAAAAACAUAGCUGCGUGUAAGUACACGCAGUAUUUUCUGCUCAAUGAAUAUUAAAUAGCCGCAGUACCUUGACUGUGCAAAGGUAGCGUAAUCAUUUGUCUUUUAAUUGGAGACGUGUAUGAACGAAUAUAUGGGGACUUUCUUUACCAUUAACAAUAAAAGAAAUUACUUAAUGAGUGAAAAAUCUCAUAUUUAAAUAAUAGACGAGAAGACCCUAGAAAUUUAUAUUGACGUUUUGUUGGGGCAACAUAGUAACAGUUAACUUACUAUAUGUAUAUGAAAUUAAUUAGUUAACUUAAAUUACUCUAGGGAUAACAGCAUAAUAUAAGAAUGUUUGUGACCUCGAUGUUGGAUUAGGGAGUUAUAGUUUAGAAGACUACUAACCUUGCUCUGUUCGCGC
rnacentral:rRNA from 1 species